rnacentral:lncRNA from 1 species
UCCAAUGGCCUACUUAGCAGCAACUUUGCUUGUUUUAACAGUCUCUCUGACCUUUGUAUCUCAAUCAACCGCUAACUACUUCUAUUCUUCUCCUCCACCACCUGUUAAGCACUACGAAUACAAAUCACCACCUCCUCCGGUUAAGCACUACCCUCCCCCUCCGGUUUAUCAUUCUCCACCACCACCUAAGAAACACUACGAAUAUAAAUCUCCACCUCCUCCAGUUAAACACUACUCUCCACCACCGGUUUACCACUCUCCACCACCCCCAAAGAAGCACUACGUGUACAAAUCCCCGCCACCCCCGGUUAAGCACUACUCUCCUCCUCCCGUUUACCAUUCUCCACCACCACCAAAGAAACACUACGUGUACAAGUCCCCUCCUCCUCCGGUUAAACACUAUUCUCCUCCUCCGGUUUACCACUCUCCACCACCUCCUAAGAAGGACUACGUCUACAAAUCUCCACCCCCACCGGUUAAGCACUACUCUCCCCCACCAGUCUACCACUCACCACCACCACCCAAGAAACAUUACGUAUACAAAUCUCCUCCUCCUCCGGUUAAACACUACACACCGCCUCCAGUUUACCAUUCCCCACCCCCAC